rnacentral:rRNA from 1 species
UACGGAGGGUGCAAGCGUUAUCCGGAUUUACUGGGUUUAAAGGGUGCGUAGGUGGGUCUGUAAGUCAGUGGUGAAAUCUCCGGGCUUAACUCGGAAACUGCCAUUGAUACUAUAGGUCUUGAAUUAUCUGGAGGUGAGCGGAAUAUGUCAUGUAGCGGUGAAAUGCUUAGAUAUGACAUAGAACACCAAUUGCGAAGGCAGCUUACUACCCGAAUAUUGACACUGAGGCACGAAAGCGUGGGGAUCAAACAGG